rnacentral:rRNA from 1 species
UUGACCUCGGAUCAGGUAGGACUACCCGCUGAACUUAAGCAUAUCAAUAAGCGGAGGAAAAGAAACCAACAGGGAUUGCCCCAGUAACGGCGAGUGAAGCGGCAACAGCUCAGAUUUGGAAUCUGGCCCCCAGGGCCCGAGUUGUAAUCUGGAGAGGAUGCUUCUGGCGCGGCGCCUUCCGAGUUCCCUGGAACGGGACGCCGGAGAGGGUGAGAGCCCCGUACGGUUGGACGCCUAGCCUUUGUGAAGCUCCUUCGACGAGUCGAGUAGUUUGGGAAUGCUGCUCAAAAUGGGAGGUAAAUUUCUUCUAAAGCUAAAUACCGGCCAGAGACCGAUAGCGCACAAGUAGAGUGAUCGAAAGAUGAAAAGCACUUUGAAAAGAGGGUCAAACAGUACGUGAAAUUGUUGAAAGGGAAGCGCCCGUGGCCAGACUUGUGCCCCGCGGACCACCCGGCGCCCUCAGCGCCGGUGCACUCCUCGGGGCGCAGGCCAGCAUCGGUUUUCCUAGGGGGAUAAAGGCGGCGGGAACGUGGCUCCCUCGGGAGUGUUAUAGCCCGCCGCGCCAUGCCCCUGGGGGGACCGAGGACCGCGCUUCGGCAAGGAUGCUGGCGUAAUGG